rnacentral:rRNA from 1 species
GCGAAAGCAUAUGCACUCUAAGGGACCGGCCAGCGGGAAAGGCUGGAGGAAGGUGGGGAUGACGUCAAAUCCUCAUGGCCUUUAUGUCCAGGGCUACACACAUGCGACAAUGGUCGAGACAACGCGUUGCAAACCAGUAAUGGUAAGCUAAUCGCAUAAAAUCGACCUCAGUACGGAUUGAGGGUUGCAAUUCACCCUCAUGAAGCUGGAGUUGCUAGUAACCGCAGGUCAGCUAUACUGCGAUGAAUACGUUCCCGGGGCUU